AAGCGGUAAAGUAAGGUGUUGUGCCAGAGAGCAGUGCCUUAUGAGCUUUAUAAGGGUUUAACAUUUACCACAAUCUGGCUAGAGGUUAAUCCUCGAAAGAAAAUGUUAGAA
rfam:[Eubacterium rectale] ATCC 33656 chromosome, complete genome.